ensembl:lncRNA
CGGCAGGACGUCACUGCGCAUGCUCGGCCGCGCUGCCGCCCGCCAGCAGAGGGGAGGCCGCAGCAUCCCACUGACACCCUGCAGAUUCCUUUGCUGCCUGGGAUUCCUCAUCCCUUACUGACUUGACACUUCCCUUGCUGUUUCUGGGAUCACAGUUCGGCAUCCUUUUGCAUUUGAGGUUUUUUCCAUGUUCUGUGCUGGAACUGCUGUAAGAACAGCUGCAAGAAUACAGCCUACUGCUUCCGUCAGCGAGAGGAGGGGCAGCUCAUCAGGAGGCAAACACCACACCAAUCAAGUUAGGAAAUCUUUUCUUAGGAGAGCCAUGCCUCUGUUGCACACUUGGCCCACUAGUACUGCUGAGGGUGAUGCCACAGGAGAGGAAAUCAUAGCCUGGCCACUGCCCAACGCGGCCAGUGUGGGCUCUCAUGCAGUUCCACCUGCACAGCUGCAGAGGUGUGAGCUCAGCACUUCCCCAGGGCUGCUCUCAAGGCAUCCCAGGGCUUUGUGCCUCAGCCUGCUUACACGUUCAGGCUUUCUUCCUACAGGAGCCACAGGCCUGUGGGGAAGGGGUGCUUCUGAGACUCUCUGGUGCCAGUUUUGAUUCCUCUGUGCCGUGGCUGGUUUGUAAUCGUCACUGCCUGGGCAAAAGUGAACACUGCUGCCCUUGGCAGAGAUGGGAAUUGGCAGAUUGGAAAUCUCUUAUUUGCUGAAGUUAUUCCUUCAUAUCUCAUGUUUUCCAGAGCAGCAAAUACAGAUGCAAAUCUCCACGUGGCAAGCAGUGCUGCAUCCUUGUCUUAUUGUCACAGACCCAUCCAUUUUUAUCCCAUGCAUGUGAACCUUCCCCAUCGCAGACUUUUGCAGUGAAGCCACAAGCUUGCACCUUUCCUGUAUCUUUCUCCUGUAUCUCGGCAAGUCAGAGACAAAAUUGGCUGUUCCUUUGAUUUGCUGAUCAGCAGCAUCUGAUGUGUCAGGCAAUAGUUCGAACUGCUCAGCAGGGAUCCUCAUAUCCUGCAUUUCAACGCUCCACGUCCUGCAGUGCCAGACCUUCCUGCCUAUCUCAGCACAACUCUGAAACACUGUUAGUAUCGAAGUGAACCUUGACUUGGGCAGUUUCUUUUCUGAUAUUUGCCCUCUUGUUAAGACAAGCAUGUAUGCUACCAGAAGCAGUUAUGAAAAAAGGAAUACAGCAGAUGGGAAAAAGGGCAACAGGAAUUCAAAGAGGAAGUGAGACCUUUCUACAUCUGGUGGUGGGAAAUGUGGAAAGAGCUGCUACCUUCACCGCUGUCAUCAAAAGACAGUCACACCAGACUGGGCAUCUAAGACUGACCUUUGGCAUGUGGUAGAGGACAAGAGCAAAAUUUCAGAGGAAGGACUUGCUGCAGUGCAGGCCAGAAUGGCUUGGUUUUGUUUAUGGUGGCAGAGAGGACUCAGUCUCACUCUCAGGAAGGCGGAACCACCUCAACGGGUUUCUUUCAAGAAGAAAUCUCUAUGUGCCUGGAGCAAAACAUAGGCAAGUUUGUGAUGCCUCAGACCAAGAGAAGUAUGGAAUAAAGCCCCGUUAUCUGUCUUGAGUUUAUGGGCACCUGAGCGUCACUGGUAUCUAAACUUCUACAGAAACAUUUGUCCAGAGAUGCAGCCAUCCUGCUGAGCUGAGAACCUCCAUGUCUUCUCAUCUAAGACAAGCAAGCAGAAUACAUGAUCACUUCCAUUUCAAAACACACCAGGGAGUAUCUUCUGCUGUUUGUGCAACAGUGUAGGAGGUAGAGCUCAUGCUCUGCAAAAGAAAGACCACUUUAAUUCCCUUCUCAGCUGAAAGGAUUUAAAUCAGUUGUUCCAAGGACAGCAAGUCAGUAAGCUACGAAAUGAUGUGGGUAGGAAAGAAAGUCUGCCUCUCUCUUUGAAGCUUGGUCACUGCAAGUCCAAGAGUGAGAUGGUGGAAGGAGAGGAAAUGUAAUAGUCAGAGUCUGCAGCCCACAAGUUGGGCGCUUAUCUGGGAGUGUAAUCCCAAAGCAAAAGAUGUAUGGAAACCAGUCCCAUGCAAGUAUAUAAGGUAUGUUCCUGUGGCCUUAGGAGAUCAGAUGUAGGUUUUUUCUACCUUACAGAAAGGAAGCUCUUUGUUGAAAGAAAAUUCUAAAAGAUUAACAAUAUAUGAAGAUUUUAAAAACUCUUCAGAAGACAGAAUGUAAAAUCUAACCCAGUUUUUUAGUGCAGAGUUCACAAACUUCUGAUCUACAGGUCCAGUUUUUAAGACGAUGUUCCCCUUCUGUUCCUUACAAGCUCUGUAUCCGCAGUGCUGCAGCAUGUUGAGUCCUCACAGCCCAUGGCAUAGCAGUUUCAAGAACUGUUAGUCCAAAUUUUCAGGUUACUGAAAGGCAAGGCUGAUGUAAAAUGAGCAGAUUUUAGGUCACUUGGGUUUUCAUUUGCAACUCUCAAAUCUUGGAAGUAAAAUGCCUGAGAACUUGUUUCCAAAAAGACUGCAAUUAAAGAGGAAAAGUCAAACUGGCUGAUUAUGGGGAAAAUGUUUAUACUUGCCUUGUGGAUCACUGUUGCAUCUCCAGAAUUUGGAUGGUGUAUUUCUUAU